rnacentral:rRNA from 1 species
CCUACGGGUGUCUGCAGUCGGGAAUAUUGCGCAAUGGAGGAAACUCUGACGCAGUGACGCCGCGUGCAGGAAGAAGGUUUUCGGAUUGUAAACUGCUUUAGACAGGGAAGAAAAAAGACAGUCCCUAUAGAAUAAGCUCCGGCUAACUACGUUCCCCCAGCCGCGGUAAUACGUAGGGAGCAAGCUUUAUCCUGAUUUAGUGGGUGUAAAGGGUGGGGAGACGGAGAAGCAUGUUAGUUGUGAAAACCCUCGGCUUAACUGAGGAACUGAAACUAAAACUACGUCCCUUGAGUACUGGAGAGUAAAGUGGAAUUCCUAGUGUAGCGGUGAAAUGCGUAGAUAUUAGGAGGAACACCAGUGGCGAAGGCGACUUUCUGGACAGUAACUGACGUUGAGGCACGAAAGUGUGGGGAGCAAACAGGAUUAGAUACCCGAGUAGUC